rnacentral:rRNA from 1 species
AGUGAACGCUGGCGGUAGGCCUAACACAUGCAAGUCGAACGGCAGCACAGUAAGAGCUUGCUCUUACGGGUGGCGAGUGGCGGACGGGUGAGGAAUACAUCGGAAUCUACUUUUUCGUGGGGGAUAACGUAGGGAAACUUACGCUAAUACCGCAUACGACCUACGGGUGAAAGCAGGGGAUCUUCGGACCUUGCGCGAUUGAAUGAGCCGAUGUCGGAUUAGCUAGUUGGCGGGGUAAAGGCCCACCAAGGCGACGAUCCGUAGCUGGGCUGAGAGGAUGAUCAGCCACACUGGAACUGAGACACGGUCACGACUACUACGGGAGGCAGCAGUGGGGAAUAUUGGACAAUGGGGGCAAGCCUGAUCCAGCCAUACCGCGUGGGUGAAGAAGGCCUUCGGGUUGUAAAGCCCUUUUGUUGGGAAAGAAAAGCAGCAGGUUAAUACCCCGCUGUUCUGACGGUACCCAAAGAAUAAGCACCGGCUAACUUCGUG